AUAUUGCAGUUAAUAUUUUUAUCAGCAGAAAACCCUUAAAUUGUAAAUUAUAGGAGAAUACUCUACUCUAAAUUAUGCUCGUUUUGGAGAGAAUAAAACAUUCUCACAGCUUGCAUAUAGAAAAGUAAAGUACACUAAACUUCUAUUUUUCAGGACUUCCCGAACGGAUUAGAAGAAUUACUUGGAAUUGUAUAGAGGAUAAUUUGCCAUCCGACGAAAGAAAUACAUAUAAAGGUAUGGCCCAAUGUUUUAAUGAAGAUAGUUUUGUUGACGUCAUG